GACGAACGCUGGCGGCGUGCCUAACACAUGCAAGUCGAGCGAGGUCCAUCCGGUGGCAACACCGGUGAAGACCUAGCGGCGAACGGGUGAGUAACACGUGAGCAACCUGCCCCGAACUCCGGGAUAACCAGGGGAAACCCUGGCUAAUACCGGAUCGCUUCAGCGGAUCGCACGAUCUGCUGAAGAAAGAACUCCGGUUCGGGAGGGGCUCGCGGCCUAUCAGCUCGUUGGUGGGGUAACGGCCCACCAAGGCUUCGACGGGUAGCUGGUCUGAGAGGAUGAUCAACCACACUGGGACUGAGACACGGCCCAGACUCCUGCGGGAGGCAGCAGUGGGGAAUAUUGCGCAAUGGGCGAAAGCCUGACGCAGCAACGCCGCGUGCGGGAUGAAGGCCUUCGGGUUGUAAACCGCUUUCGGCAGGGACGAAAUUGACGGUACCUGCAGAAGAAGCCCCGGCCAACUACGUGCCAGCCGCCGCAGUAAUAC
rnacentral:rRNA from 1 species